rnacentral:tRNA from 1 species
GUGGUACAAAUGGUGAACAUGUUUGGCUGGUAACCAAAGGUUGGUGGUUUGAAUCCAUCC